rnacentral:rRNA from 1 species
GACGAACGCUGGCGGCGUGCCUAAUACAUGCAAGUAGAACGCUGAAGGAGGAGCUUGCUUCUCUGGAUGAGUUGCGAACGGGUGAGUAACGCGUAGGUAACCUGCCUGGUAGCGGGGGAUAACUAUUGGAAACGAUAGCUAAUACCGCAUAAGAGUAGAUGUUGCAUGACAUUUGCUUAAAAGGUGCACUUGCAUCACUACCAGAUGGACCUGCGUUGUAUUAGCUAGUUGGUGGGGUAACGGCUCACCAAGGCGACGAUACAUAGCCGACCUGAGAGGGUGAUCGGCCAAACUGAGACUGAGACACGGCCCAGACUCCUACGGGAGGCAGCAGUAGGGAAUCUUCGGCAAUGGACGGAAGUCUGACCGAGCAACGCCGCGUGAGUGAAGAAGGUUUUCGGAUCGUAAAGCUCUGUUGUAAGAGAAGAACGAGUGUGAGAGUGGAAAGUUCACACUGUGACGGUAUCUUACCAGAAAGGGACGGCUAACUACGUG